GGGUCCGGGAACGGAUUUUUAGUCCCGGAGGGUUUGGAUGGUCGGGCCGCCAUCC
rnacentral:ncRNA from 2 species